rfam:Capsella rubella cultivar Monte Gargano unplaced genomic scaffold scaffold_7, whole genome shotgun sequence.
CUCCCUUCGAGGGACAUCCCAUAAAAUUGGAACGAAGAUUAACAUGGCUCUUGCGCAAAAAUGACACCCACAAAUCGCGAUAUCACAAUAUCAACGUUUUU